rnacentral:lncRNA from 1 species
AUUUAUAAGAGGGAUCAAGUAAUGCCUGGAUGAAUUCAUGAACAUUUGAUCUAGAUCUUAAAUAACUGAUGGAAUUUUGCCAAAAGAGAGAGAACAAUUAAAGCAAAGAGAAUUAUAUAUGUAAAAACAUACAAAUGGAGAUAUGAGAAUAAUGCCAUUGGGGUGGCUGGAAGAGGGGCAGGGCAGAGGGGGUGGGGAUCAUAAUACGAGGCUAGAAAAACACUGGUGAGGGAGAUGAUUAUUGGGGAAGGACUGUACUGCCUAACUCAAGGGUGAGGAUUUACUUUUGUAGAUAAUGAGGAUCCACCAAGCCUAAAGCAGAGGCACGAUCAGAUCUAUGUUACUAGAAUAUUCCUCUGAGCUGCCAAGAUAACAAUGAGAAUGAUUGGAAGAGCUGAGGGAACAGAGGAAGAGAGGUGAAGCUAGGAUCUCAGAAUGUAUCUGAAGAGUUGAGAAUUUACCAAGAUCUUAAGACAUACAGGCUUUGGCUCCUAAUUAGAUUACUCCGCAAAUGUUAAUUCACUUUCUUUUGUCUCUUCUCCCUACCCGCCUCAAUCUUGUUUAAGCCCAGAGUAAGCAGUUGAGUUGGAGCUAAUCAUUGACCAGGAUUUUGCAGAACCAGGGUGGCCUGGCACAGAUGCACUGAUGAGGGAUGAACUAAAAGCAGCUACAAGUGGCUGCAUCAUGAAGGAUCAAGGGCAGGCUGCAGCAACGGGCCAACACAAGGACGUCAUCUCACCAAGGGCUGCGUUUGAGAACGUUGGAAGACCCAGUCCCAAACCUGCAGCCUACCUACCACAGGCCCCUCCUCUUUCCAAAUCAAACACAAGAGUCGGAGGGAAGAAAGGGAGAGAGCCUUUGUAACACCCGUGGGUGAGAGCAGAAAAUCACCAUGGUGCUCAGCGGCCUUGUCAAGGACAAAAGCAUUCAGCUCCCCUCUGUUUGGACAGCUGAGGCCGGGCCCCUUCUCUCUCUCCAGCACAUUUGCCAGGAGAGACCCAGGCUGAAUCCUAAUCCCAGGCAGUCAGAGGGGGCCUCUCAGGGAAGAUUUUCAACAGC